GCCGCCGCCGCCGGGCACCCAGCCCCAGGGGGGCGGGCUGGAGGGAGGGGGCGGGCGCUGGCGGGGGGACCCCCGCAACCAUGGCGGGCGGGGAGUGGGCUGCCGAGCCGCUUCACCUGCCGCAGAGGGGGCGGCCGGCGCCGCUUCACCUGCCGGAGCGGGAGGCCACCGAGGCGAGGCCGAGGCGGCGGCGCGCUCGGCGGCGCCUCCGGGUCCUAGAACCGCAUCCUCCCGCUCGCCUCGGGCGAGGGAUUGGCCGGGUCUGGGUGAGGGGGGUCACGGCUUGGGGAUCGGAGGGGCACAUCUUCUCCGCACCGAGGAUCUCAGCGACUGCGAGCACGGCUCGGAGACCCACGGUGGUGCAGCGUUGGCGCGCCAGGGCUGCGUUCCCGUCUCGGGUCCCGGACUGAGAAGAGCCACUGACAAGACUUUAAGCAAGAGACGGAAAGUUAACAUCUAAUCUGGAGGAAGACCCUGGAAGGAGCCAGCCCCUUCCCCCAGGCUGACCUGGUUUAAGCCUUUCUUCUGCUAAGGUCACCAGCACCCCAGAUGGGUGAGAGAUGUGAUCACUGGUUUCAUGGCCUGACCAAGGACCUCCAAGGCCUCAUGUGGAAUGCAGCCUCUGAGAAAAGCACUUCUCACCACUCAAAACCCACCGAAGCAUGCCCAGCCCUGAGAGGGGCUUCUAGGAAUGCAAAACGAGCUGUCUCUGCAGCCACGAGCAGAGCUAACUGCAUAAUAAGCACACUGGAGGGGAUUCACAGGCUUUGAGGAUUGUUUUGAAGGAAGAGAAAUAGGUCCUACUUCUGUGGGAGACUGAUUAUUCCUUUAACUCCAAUCA
rnacentral:antisense_RNA from 1 species